GAUGAACGUUGGCGGCGUGCCUAACACAUGCAAGUCGAACGCUGGUAGCAAUAUCAGAGUGGCGCACGGGUGAGUAACACGUAGCUUACCUACCUCAAAGCGCGGGAUAACGUUCCGAAAGGAAUGCUAAUACCGCAUAAGCUCGCGGUCUGUAGAGGGCUGAGAGAAAAGGGGCAACUCACUUUGAGAUGGGGCUGCGGCCCAUCAGCUGGUUGUGAGGAACGGCUUACCAAGGCAACGACGGGUAGGGACCUGAGAGGGU
rnacentral:rRNA from 1 species